rnacentral:rRNA from 1 species
UACGUAGGGGGCAAGCGUUGUCCGGAAUCAUUGGGCGUAAAGAGCGCGUAGGCGGCCCGGUAAGUCCGCUGUGAAAGUCAAAGGCUCAACCUUUGAAUGUCAGCGGAUACUGCCGGGCUAGAGUCCGGAAGAGGCGAGUGGAACUCCUGGUGUAGCGGUGGAAUGCGCAGAUAUCAGGAGGAAUACCCAUAGCGAAGGCAGCUCGCUGGGACGUUACUGACGCUGAGGCGCGAAAGCGUGGGGAGCGAACAGG